GGAAGUGGUCAUGUGACCUCCAUUAGGAAUGUGAACUGUUCUCCGUAUUGAUUUGGUUUAAUGUUCAGGUUCUGUUUGCUUCUUUCCUUCAGGGUCACAGAGUCCAGCAGGAGUUCAGCCCAACGUCAGGACAACCUGGAGAUGUUUCGUACGUCUGCAGUGAGAAGUUCAGGAGUCCCUCCUAUAUUUUGCUGCGUCAUGGUUCACAGAAUGUCGACCUCAUGCUGAGAAAUGAUCGUUCAGAGGAAGAGGACAAUGACUGAAAGAGGGACAGAAAAUCCCAGAAUGCUUUUCAGCCGAUAGAGAAACUGUACUGCUGAGUCAUCAUGAUAAAAAUGCUGAGUCAUCACCAUGGAAACCAUAAAGGGUUUGUGCUGCAGUUAAACCACAUCAACCUCACACCUGAGGCAGGUACCUGAAGCCCCGCCCCCCUCAGAAUGCAGAUGCUGUUGGAAGAUGCUACGUUAGCUUUGCUGAUCUGUGCUACUACUGUGGUGA